GGGGGUGUGUUGGCUUCGACUAGAAAUGGUGAUUCUUAGUGUCAGCAAGUAGCGGUUGGUCGAAGGGCCGCUUUAAAAAUCGGCUAAACAUUAUCUGCAAACGAUAAUGACAACACUCUAAAUCAAUUAGCAUUAGCUGCUUAAUUUAGAGUCUCGGCCAUUAGUCAAGUACUAAUUGCUGAGCAUGAGACCGGUGAUGCCUGAUUAAUCCGAUUCUUGUGAAAAUCUUUAUCAGGCUGUUGAUUUAGUUUUGAAUUGCCAGGGCUAAGUUAGAGUAAAAACAGCAAUUAGCUAAGUUGAGCUAGCCAAAUAGUGAAAUACUUAGUGAAAUUUAAAAAUUUGGCUAAACUUGUAGAAAGCUAAGAAAUACUUUUUUAGGACCCGAGUUCAAAUCUCGGCAUCUCCACCA
rnacentral:tmRNA from 1 species